ensembl:lncRNA
CAGAUACAGGCCCAUUAAAGGUGGUAGAGUACACAUACAGGCCCAUUAAAGGUGUGGUGUACACAUACAGGUCCAUUAAAGGUAGUAGAGUACACAUACAGGCCCAUUAAAGGUGGUAGAGAACACAUACAGGCCCAUUAAAGGUGGUAGAGUACACAUACAGGCCCAUUAAAGGUGUGGUGUACACAUACAGGUCCAUUAAAGGUGGUAGAGUACACAUACAGGCCCAUUAAAGGUGGUAGAGUACACAUACAGGCCCAUUAAAGGUGGUAGAGUACACAUACAGGCCCAUUAAAAGGCGGUAGAGUACACAUACAGGCCCAUUAAAAGGUGGUAGAGUACACAUACAGGUCCAUUAAAGGUGGUAGAGUACACAUACAGGCCCAUUAAAAGGUGGUAGAGAACACAUACAGGCCCAUUAAAGGUGGUGGAGUACAUACAGGCCCAUUAAAGGUGGUAGAGUACACAUACAGGCCCAUUAAAGGUGGCGGUGUACAUACAGGCCCAUUAAAGGUGGUAGAGUACACAUACAGGCCCAUUAAAGGUGGCGGUGUACACAUACAGGCCCAUUAAAGGUGGUAGAGUACACAUACAGGCCCAUUAAAGGUGGCGGUGUACACAUACAGGCCCAUUAAAGGUGGUAGAGUACACAUACAGGCCCAUUAAAGGUGGUAGAGUAC